rnacentral:rRNA from 1 species
GUAGAGAUCUGGAGGAAUACCGGUGGCGAAGGCGGCCCCCUGGACAAAGACUGACGCUCAGGUGCGAAAGCGUGGGGAGCAAACAGGAUUAGAUACCCUGGUAGUCCACGCCGUAAACGAUGUCUACUUGGAGGUUGUGCCCUUGAGGCGUGGCUUCCGGAGCUAACGCGUUAAGUAGACCGCCUGGGGAGUACGGCCGCAAGGUUAAAACUCAAAUGAAUUGACGGGGGCCCGCACAAGCGGUGGAGCAUGUGGUUUAAUUCGAUGCAACGCGAAGAACC